rnacentral:rRNA from 1 species
UACGGGGGGGGCGAGCGUUAUUCGGAAUUAUUGGGCGUAAAGGGCGCGUAGGCGGCUUGACAAGUCAAAGGUGAAAUCCCUCGGCUUAACCGAGGAACUGCCUGUCAGACUGCAUGGCUUGAGACCGGGAGAGGUGAGUGGAAUUCCCAGUGUAGCGGUGAAAUGCGUAGAUAUUGGGAGGAACACCAGUGGCGAAGGCGGCUCACUGGACCGGUACUGACGCUGAGGCGCGAAAGCGUGGGGAGCAAACAGG